CCUACGGGAGGCAGCAGUGGGGAAUAUUGCACAAUGGGCGAAAGCCUGAUGCAGCCAUGCCGCGUGUGUGAAGAAGGCCUUCGGGUUGUAAAGCACUUUCAGUUGCGAGGAAAGGAGUGUAGUUAAUAGCUGCAUUCUGUGACGUUAACAACAGAAGAAGCACCGGCUAACUUCGUGCCAGCAGCCGCGGUAAU
rnacentral:rRNA from 1 species